rnacentral:rRNA from 1 species
CAGCCGCCGCGGUAAUACGUAGGUGGCAAGCGUUGUCCGGAAUUAUUGGGCGUAAAGGGCUCGCAGGCGGUUUCUUAAGUCUGAUGUGAAAGCCCCGGCUCAACCGGGGAGGGUCAUUGGAAACUGGGAAACUUGAGUGCAGAAGAGGAGAGUGGAAUUCCACGUGUAGCGGUGAAAUGCGUAGAGAUGUGGAGGAACACCAGUGGCGAAGGCGACUCUCUGGUCUGUAACUGACGCUGAGGAGCGAAAGCGUGGGGAGCGAACAGGAUUAGAUACCCCGGUAGUCCCUGUCUCUUAUACA